rnacentral:rRNA from 1 species
UACGGAGGAUGCAAGCGUUAUCCGGAUUUAUUGGGUUUAAAGGGUGCGUAGGCGGAUAUGUAAGUCAGCGGUGAAACUCACAGGCUCAACCUGUGCCGUGCCGUUGAAACUGUGUAUCUGGAAUGCGGAUGCUGUGGGAGGAAUGUGUAGUGUAGCGGUGAAAUGCAUAGAUAUUACACAGAACACCGAUUGCGAAGGCAUCUCACAAAGCCAAGAUUGACGCUGAGGCACGAAAGUGUGGGGAUCAAA